AUAAAUGCAAUGAUGAAGAAAAGUAAAUUCAAAUAGGUGAUUUUUAGAGAGCAGAUGAUGGUGGAAUAUCUGUAUGAGUCUUGAAUUGAAAGAACACUUCGGAGUAAUUAACUGAAAUUUUAAGUGACUAAUCUAAGUGAUUGUAGUGCAUAAUAAAGAGUAGGCUUAAUCGGGUCCACACCGUUAAAAGUGGAGGGUAUAAAAUUAUGUGUUAUAUAUUUUUGUACUUGUUUGAGGUGAGUUUUUAUAUAAACUAACUAGGGUGGUACCGCGAAGUAUUCUCGUCCCUAUG
rnacentral:ncRNA from 1 species